rnacentral:rRNA from 1 species
UGGGGAAUUUUGGACAAUGGGCGAAAGCCUGAUCCAGCAAUGCCGCGUGUGUGAAGAAGGCCUUCGGGUUGUAAAGCACUUUUGUCCGGAAAGAAAUCCUUGGCUCUAAUACAGUCGGGGGAUGACGGUACCGGAAGAAUAAGCACCGGCUAACUACGUGCCAGCAGCCGCGGUAAUACGUAGGGUGCAAGCGUUAAUCGGAAUUACUGGGCGUAAAGCGUGCGCAGGCGGUUUGCUAAGACCGAUGUGAAAUCCCCGGGCUCAACCUGGGAACUGCAUUGGUGACUGGCAGGCUAGAGUAUGGCAGAGGGGGGUAGAAUUCCACGUGUAGCAGUGAAAUGCGUAGAGAUGUGGAGGAAUACCGAUGGCGAAGGCAGCCCCCUGGGCCAAUACUGACGCUCAUGCACGAAAAGCGUGGGGAGCAAAACAGGAUUAGAUACCCUGGUAGUCCACGCCCUAAAACGAUGUCAACUAGUUGUUGGGGGAUUCAUUUUCCUUAGUAACGUAGCUAACGCGUGAAGUUGACCGCCUGGGGAGUACGGUCGCAAGAUUAAAACUCAAAUGAAUUGAC